rnacentral:rRNA from 1 species
UGGGGAAUCUUGCACAAUGGGCGAAAGCCUGAUGCAGCGACGCCGCGUGGGGGAUGAAGCUUCUCGGAGUGUAAACCCCUUUCGACCCGGACGAAUACCUCGCAAGAGGGGUGACGGUACGGGUAUAAGAAGCCCCGGCUAAUUACGUGCCAGCAGCCGCGGUAAGACGUGGGGGGCCAGCGUUGUUCGGAAUUACUGGGUGUAAAGGGUUNNNAGGCGGUGUGGCAAGUCGGGAGUGAAAUCUCUAGGCUCAACCUAGAGUCNGCUUCCGAAACNGCUGUGCUUGAGUGUGGGAGAGGCGCGUGGAAUUGCAGGUGUAGCGGUGAAAUGCGUAGACANCUGCAGGAACACCCGUGGCGAAAGCGGCGCGCUGGACCACUACUGACNNNGAGGAACGAAAGCUAGGGGAGCGAACAGGAUUAGAUACCCUGGUAGUCCUAGCCCUAAACGAUCAGGACUUGGGGUGCCACCCGUUCGGGUGUCGUCCCGGAGCUAACGCGUUAAGUCCUGCACCUGGGGAGUACGGUCGCAAGAC